GUGGCUAUCAUCAUAGACUAUAGAAAUACUAUCAUGCUUGGAGAAGCCUUCCUUCAUGUUCUGAACUGCACAGAAUACACCACAAAUCAUGAUGGACAUGCUCACACACACUCACCCACCCCCACGACCCGUCCUGACCCCUGCACGACGAACGCUGCUGCCAGAUCUCCUCUGACACCACGAACUGUGAGAGCUGGCAGGCCCGAAUGCCUGGAAAAGCAAGGGCAGUACCGAGCCUCUGCACCCAGCAACGGUAUGCCCAUUCUCAGCUGUAGCGGGGAGGAUCACUUGGGCAUGAUGCUGUUUGGCUCCUGGUGCUGUCCCAGCUUCUGCAAAAACUAUCCAGACCUCCGGCUUGCUGGUGACCGGCUGGAGCACUGCAGCCCUCAUAACCCAGACCUGCUCAACCCACCAGACGCCGGGCCACUGCUACAGUCGCAGGACCUAAGCUCUCUGGAACCCUCUCUGGAAGCAGGUCAACAGGCAGAGGCUGUGACCCAGCAGGACGAGGAGUAUCUUGUCAUGGAAAGCGUUCAGGGUCCUGGCUGGGAGAGAAGGCUUACCAACUCCAUGUUGAACGGCUACCUAGAAGUCCAAAUGCUGGAGGUGUUUUGUCAGCACAUGCAUAACAUGGCAUGCUGUGGAUCAUCAUUGCUGAGCACUGACGUCAUGCCAGCAUUGGUGCCCACCAGCCUGACUGUAGCCAAAGAACAGACAGCCAGUCAGGAAGAAGAGGUGGAUUCUUCAUCCAAUAAUGUUGUGCAAUAUUUAAGCACUUGUUCAGCUCCAGCCACCUCUCACUUCAGCUCACCUGUGCUGCGAAUCUCAGAAGCUGAGUAAACCACCUUAUAAAAUACACACAGAUCCUGCCCUCGUAACAUUUUCAAUGUUGGGCUCCUGUCUUUUGACCAACACACAAAUAUUUGAAGUUAUCUGUGUUGUUAAAGGAAUGUUCUGCAUGCAAUACUGACAGCACUUGUGGCAUGUUGAUAACUAUGAUAACAAUGAAGUACACAAGGUAAGGCAAUGAACGUUAAAGGGAUAAACCCAAAAAUGAAAAUUUGAUGUUUAUCUGCUUACCCCCAGGGCAUCCAAGAUGUCGGUGACGUUGUUUCUUCAGUAAAAAAGUGAAAGUGAAAGUCGUGACAUUUGCCAAGUAUGGUAACCGAUACUCGGAAUUGGUGCUCUGCAUUUAACCCAUCCACGUGCACACACACAGCAGUGAGAAGCGAACACACCCGUGAACACACACCCGGAGCAGUGGGCAGCUAUAUCCAGCACCCGGGGAAGAACACAAAUGAAGAAUUUUAACUCAAACCGUUGCAGUCUGUCAGUCAUAUAAUGGAAGUGGAUGGGGGUCACGGCUUUGAGAGUCAAAAAACAUACACAAACAAAACCAAAUUAAACCCUGUGGCUCUUGAUGAUACAUUGAUGUGUAAAGACACAAAACGAUUGGUCUGUGCAAGAAACUGAACAGUAUUUAUAUUGUUUUUUUACCUCUGAUUUUUAUCGCAAUGUACGAACUGUCCUAAACGCGUCCCGAGCCUGACACGUCUUCUUCUUUUACUUGCUUUAUGGUGGAUUGCAGAUCACCUAUCUCUCAAAUGGACCAUUGACACUCUAUCUACAAUCUCAAUUAGGAGUAUCAAUGGUCCACUUGAGAGAUAGGUGGCAGUAAUGCUCUUAUAAGUCUGCGAUCCACCAUAAAGCAAGAAGAAAAAUAAGAUGCAUGAGCCGCCAACUGUUGAGAACGCGCUCAGGACAGUUCGGACAUUGCAGUUAAAAUCAGAGAAAAAAAAAAACGAUGUAAAUACUGUUCAGUUUCUUGCACAGACCGAUUGUUUUGUCAGUAGCACAUCAGUGUAUCAUCACGAGCCUCAGGGUUUAAUUUGGUUUUGUUUGUGUAUGUUUUUUGACUCUCAAAGCUGUGAUUUCCAUCCACUUACAUUAUAUGACUGACAGACUGCAACGGUUUGAGUUAAAAAUCUUUGUUUGUGUUCUACUGAAGAAACAAAGUCACCUGCAUCUUGGAUGCCCUGGGGGUAAGCAGAUAAACAUCAAAUUUUCCUUUUUGGGUGAAUUAUUCCUUUAAAGAAACAUCACGUUUCAAAAGUAUAGACAUAUGAUUUAUAUAAUUUGUGUUAACAUGAGACAUAGGGACUUUGUCUGUGUAAAGUUAUAAAAUUAGGAUUAAAAGUUUGGGGUCAAUAACAUAUAAAUAUUUUUUUAAAUAUGUCUUAUACUCACCAUGAAGGCUGCACUUAUUUGAUCGAUAAUAAAAUAAAACCACAAUAUUGUUAAAUAUAAUUA
ensembl:lncRNA